rnacentral:rRNA from 1 species
AGCUACGGCCACACCGCCUGGUUCACGCCCGAUCUCGUUUGAUCUCGGAAGCUAAAAUAGGGUGGGCCUGGUUAGUACUUGGAUGGGGAGACCGCCUGGGAAUACCAGGUGUUGUAAGAU